AUCAUCUUCUAAAGAUAUUUGGAUGUGCAGCUGGGAGUGUUUGCAAUGCUGUCCUGAGGAUGUGGAAAGAGGGAUCCUUCUAGUCAGCCAGGCAUGGCAGCUAGAGAGCCAGCCUGAACAGUUAAAGAGCCAGCCCUGCUGGUUGAAGGGAUCCAGGGGCCCUGAAUUCUGCCCCUGUCAUACUCUUGGAGAGGGAGGUGAAACCUCUGUUAGCCAAAAAUGGAUGACCCUGUCUGCAUGUGAUAGUUACAGACAUCAGGAGGGCAGUAACUGAGAGACAUGAAGCUGCCUCACCCAGCAACGGGAAGAAGACUCCGGCUUUGUAGCCCAGGACUCGGGAAAGCUUUUGCUCCAGCCUGUCCUGGUAGGCAGGAGCAUCUGGUCACGCCUCCCUCCCCUGUAGCUCCGUCUUGGUAUCAGUUUUCCUGGUGAUUUUGAAAAAGCUACUUUUUGCCUUCACAGUUGCAUGUUAUGUGGCAUGGGGGUGGGGGUCGGGGGGAGGCCGUGCAUGAAGCUUCCCGUCAUCGGGCAAGGAGUAGAAUCAGUAUAUUGUGUUGCUUUCCCCUUGACUGACAGCUAUUUGCCUAGAGCCUUCUUUUCUUACAGAGUUAAUGUAUCUCCUGGCACACUUUCUGGUUUGCAGUGAUUGCUCCACACUGAGAACAGGCUGAGGAAAGCUUUUCCUCAUCACACCCAUCCAGGUCUGCUUUUCCUAUGCUCUUUGGGGUUCAGGUCUGUAGAGACUUUCCUGUGCCAUCUAGCUUCCUUCAAAUGGAGGUCAGAAGUUCUUUCAGCCUAGAGGAUCACAGAGCCCCACACUCCCAAAUCUCCAGUAAAGAUACCAACUUUUGAUGUGGCCUAGAGUUGGUGGUGGGUGUCCUCCUAAGCCUGUCUGUAAUAGGUCCCUAUCUUACCUGAAA